rnacentral:tRNA from 1 species
GUUAUAGUAGCUUAAUUAAAGCAUGGCGCUGAAGACGCUAAAAUGGGACCUAGCCCUCCCCGAUGACA